GGGAAGAUUACUUGCAAGUCGAGGGGCAGCGGGGAGGUUCAAUACUUCCGCCGGCGACCGGCGCACGGGUGAGUCCUUGUAUGGAACCUGCCCGUAGCAGGGGGAUAAGCGGAAGACAUUCCGUCUAAUACCGCGUAAUAACUCCGAGAGGCAUCUCCUGGGGUUUAAAGGGUAACACCGGCUACGGAUGGCCAUGCGGCGCAUUAGCUAGUUGGCGGGGUAACGGCCCACCAAGGCGACGAUGCGUACAGGUUCUGAGAGGAAGGUCCCCCACACUGGUACUGAGACACGGACCAGACCCCUACGGGAGGCAGCAGUGAGGAAUAUUGGUCAAUGGGCGCGAGCCUGAACUAGCCAAGUCGCGUGAGGGAAGACGGUCCUAUGGAUUGUAAACCUCUUUUGUCGGGGAGCAAAAGACGCCACGCGUGGCGUUCCGAGAGUACCCGAAGAAAAAGCAUCGGCUAACUCCGUGCCAGCAGCCGCGGUAAUACGGAGGAUGCGAGCGUUAUCCGGAUUUAUUGGGUUUAAAGGGUGCGCAGGCGGAAGAUCAAGUCAGCGGUAAAAUUGAGAGGCUCAACCUCUUCGAGCCGUUGAAACUGGUUUUCUUGAGUGAGCGAGAAGUAUGCGGAAUGCGUGGUGUAGCGGUGAAAUGCAUAGAUAUCACGCAUAACUCCGAUUGCGAAAGCAGCAUACCGGCGCUCAACUGACGCUCAUGCACGAAAGUGUGAGUAUCGAACAGGAAUUGAUACCCUGGUAGUCCACACAGUAAACGAUGAAUACUAAUUGUUCGGGGGAGAAUG
rnacentral:rRNA from 1 species